AUUGAACGCUGGCGGCAUGCCUUACACAUGCAAGUCGAACGGCAGCACGGGAGCAAUCCUGGUGGCGAGUGGCGAACGGGUGAGUAAAGUAUCGGAACGUGUCCAGUCGUGGGGGAUAACGUAGCGAAAGUUACGCUAAUACCGCAUACGAUCUACGGAUGAAAGCGGGGGAUCGCAAGACCUCGCGCGAUUGGAGCGGCUGAUAUCAGAUUAGGUAGUUGGUGGGGUAAAGGCUCACCAAGCCGACGAUCUGUAGCUGGUCUGAGAGGACGACCAGCCACACUGGGACCGAGACACGGCCCAGACUCCUACGGGAGGCAGCAGUGGGGAAUUUUGGACAAUGGGCGCAAGCCUGAUCCAGCCAUGCCGCGUGCAGGAUGAAGGCCUUCGGGUUGUAAACUGCUUUUGUACGGAACGAAAAGGUUUGGCCUAAUAAGCUGGACCCAUGACGGUACCGUAAGAAUAAGCACCGGCUAACUACGUGCCAGCCGCCGCGGUAA
rnacentral:rRNA from 1 species